rnacentral:rRNA from 1 species
UACGAAGGGGGCUAGCGUUGUUCGGAGUUACUGGGCGUAAAGGGUGUGUAGGCGGUUUUCUAAGUUUGGUGUGAAAUCUCCCGGCUCAACCGGGAGGGUGCGCCGAAAACUGGGAGACUAGAGUGCGGGAUGGGAGAGUAGAAUUCCUGGUGUAGCGGUGAAAUGCGUAGAUAUCGUAAGGAAGACCAGUGGCGAAGGCGGGUCUCUGGACAGUUCCUGACGCUGAGGCACGAAGGUCAGGGGAGCAAACGGG